CAUAGUUUUAGUCAUGUGAUAUGUAUCUAUAAUGGUUAAAUGUCACUAUUUUGAUUUAAUGAGAGUAUGUUGCCUUUAGAGUUGUAAAUAUGUGCUAUUCCUCCAGGCCUUUGGAGAGUAUCUCAUUCAGUGUGCAGUCACAGAUGUACAGGAAAUCACGGUUGAGGCUGAAACUUCAAUCAGAGAAGUUCAGGUUAAUCUGAGAAGAUUACAGCUAAUGCCACUCUGGGAUUUGAUGAAGAUCAAUUCGAAGCACUGGAAUUGAGAUCGAUGGAAUCGGUGGGUUAAACGUUCAAUAAUAGAGAUGUCCAAUUUAAAUAAUAGAAUAGACAGUUCAAAAAAAUGUAUUUAUUAAUUGUCCUACGUUAUUGGAAAAGUUUAACGGUCUUGCUCUCUCUGUUCUGUUUUGUGGUUCUGCUUCUUAGGUGGAGGUGAUGAUAAUGAAACUGGCAGUUUAGAAAUCAUUGCCUGCCAUCAUAGAAGGCUCCACUGGAGACUUUCCAUUCCUAGCCAUAAUCAUUGUCAUACGUAUUAAGGAAAUAAUUCAUCUUUUGGAAGUUUUUGUAUAUCAAACACAUUUUCAACUACUUUAGCUGGGCUUGAUUGAGCUUGUAUGUGGUAAUGGAACCAAUAGAAUAGUCGUGGAAGUGCAAACCCUGUCAAUCUGGCACUCAAGACAGGUUAAAUCAAACACCCAACAUAUUUGAAAGAUUUCAAGUUGUAUUUGAACACGUCUGACUGCGAUGUGUGUACAGUACAUCAAUUUGAUUAAAGUAUCAAUGCAUCACUGUUCUAAUCUUUCCUUCUUUGAAUUUGCAGUGUGGCUUUUUCAAACGAUGUCAUCAAGAGGAUAAAGCAGUGGAUAAUGAGUGACGCUCUGUCGCUGGUUCUGGCAUAUCAAGAAGCAUUUAGCGUGUUUGGGAUGGUCUGAAUCGACGUGUACAAGAGUGUGUUCCAGUUCCUGCCAAUAUCCAGCAACUUCACAAAACAAUUGAAGAGGAGUGGGAGAACAUUCCACAGACCACAAUCAACAGCCUGAUCAACUCUCUGCGAAGGAGAUGCCACGCUGCGUGAGGCAAAUGGUGGUCACACCAGACUGGUUUUCUGAUCCACGCCCCUACCUUUUUUUUAAGGUAUCUGUGACCAUCUGUAUUCCCAGUCUUGUGAAAUCCAUAGAUUAGGAGCCAAUGAUUUUUAUUUCAAUUGACUGAUUUCCUUAUAUGAACUGUAACUCAGUACAAUCUUUUAAAUUGUUGCAUGUUGCUUUUAUAUAUUUAUAAAUUACCUCUAUGUAUCGGCCUCAUGGCCUUCAUCAGAGCUGCUGUGAGUGUUUAUAAUUUGCACACUUAUGUAGACAUUGCUCCAUCCACAUCUGUUCAAUGCAUCGCAUGGGUUUGGAGUUGAGGGAAAAUAAGCAAGUGUUACCAAAUAUAACAAUGUGCAUUUCAUAUGUAUUCUAAUGAAGUGUGUACAUGAAAUGCAAAAAAAACAAGUUUGUAAAACCACAAUGAGGACAUCAACUUAGUUUUCAUAAAUCAUUGGGUACAGAGCAAGAAAAAACAUCAAUUUAUUUAA